rnacentral:misc_RNA from 1 species
AACGCACGAGACCUGCGGACCUGCGGAGGGAUCAUUACAAAUCCAAAACAUACUUUGUUGAAAACAAAAGGCUUUCGGGAUGCCCUUUUGCCUUGCCUGUUGACUUGAUCCUAGUUGCGCUUGGCGAUACUGGAUGAUGUCAGCUUAACGUGAUUCCCACCCUUUAGGGGUUUUUGUAGGGUGGGAAAGUUAAGCAGAUCAUUGUGUGCUGCCAACGUUACCCUCUAGCGUUCAGACAAU